rnacentral:rRNA from 1 species
AAAUUGAAGAGUUUGAUCAUGGCUCAGAUUGAACGCUGGCGGCAGGCCUAACACAUGCAAGUCGAACGGUAACAGGAAGCAGCUUGCUGCUUUGCUGACGAGUGGCGGACGGGUGAGUAAUGUCUGGGAAACUGCCCGAUGGAGGGGGAUAACUACUGGAAACGGUGGCUAAUACCGCAUAACGUCGCAAGACCAAAGAGGGGGACCUUCGGGCCUCUUGCCAUCAGAUGUGCCCAGAUGGGAUUAGCUUGUUGGUGAGGUA